rnacentral:rRNA from 1 species
CAGCCGCGGUAAUACGGAGGAUGCAAGCGUUAUCCGGAUCCAUUGGGUUAAAGGGUGCGCAGGCUGUAAGGCAAGUCAGUGGUGAAAGCCCUGGGCUUAACUCAGGGAUUGCCAUUGAAACUGUUUUACUAGAGUGUAGUAGAGGACGGCGGAAUGAGUUGUGUAGCGGUGAAAUGCAUAGAUAUAACUCAGAACACCUAUUGCGUAGGCAGCUGUCUAUACUACAACUGACGCUGAGGCACGAAAGCGUGGGGAGCGAACAGGAUUAGAUACCCUGGUAGUCCACGCUGUAAACGAUGAUCACUCGUUGUUGGCUACUUAGUAGUCAGUGACCAAGGGAAACCGAUAAGUGAUCCACCUGGGGAGUACGUCGGCAACGAUGAAACUCAAAGGAAUUGACGGGGGCCCGCACAAGCGGAGGAACAUGUGGUUUAAUUCGAUGAUACGCGAGGAACCUUACCUGGGCUUAAAUGCUGGCUGCAUUGGAGGGAAACCUUCAUUUCCUACGGGACCGCCAGCAAGGUGCUGCAUGGUUGUCGUCAGCUCGUGCCGUGAGGUGUCGGGUUAAGUCCCAUAACGAGCGCAACCCCUAUCGCUAGUUGCCAGCAUGUAAUGGUGGGGACUCUAGCGAGACUGCCGGUGUAAACCGGAGGAAGGUGGGGAUGACGUCAAAUCAGCACGGCCCUUACGUCCAGGGCUACACACGUGUUACAAUGGCCGGUACAAAGAGCAGCCACCUGGCGACAGGGCGCUAAUCUCUAAAACCGGUCUCAGUUCGGAUCGAAGUCUGCAAUUCGACUUCGUGAAGGUGGAUUCGCUAGUAAUCGCGCAUCAGCCAUGGCGCGGUGAAUAAGUUUCCCGGGGCCUUGCACUCACCGC